UACGUAGGUGGCAAGCGUUGUCCGGAUUUAUUGGGGUUAAAGGGUGCGUAGGCGGCCUUGUAAGUCAGUGGUGAAAUACUCCAGCUUAACUGGAGGGGUGCCAAUGAUACUGCAGGGCUUGAGUACAGAUGAGGUAGGCGGAAUUGACGGUGUAGCGGUGAAAUGCAUAGAUAUCGUCAAGAACACCGAUAGCGAAGGCAGCUUACUGGGCUGUAACUGACGCUGAGGCACGAAAGUGUGGGGAUCAAACAGG
rnacentral:rRNA from 1 species